rnacentral:sRNA from 1 species
AAAAGUGUGGGUGGUUCUUGAAGUAUUUGGAAGAAAUCUGAUGUAUUCUUUAUUGACGAAGUCAACGAGAUAUAUACAUAAACACUAUUGCAUUAUUGUUUGUUGUAUACAUAUAUCCUGUAUAUACACUUAUAAGAGUAUCUUCAUUGCAUAACCCCUUGUGGAUGUUUUAAAGACUAACUAUGGUAAAAAUAAACUAACCAUGAUUAAAACUAAAGAUAUUUCCUUUUUUUGGUGUCUGAAAUGUCUCGGGAAAGUCAUUUUUGACAUUGAAAAAGGGGAAUGUCUUUAAUUUUAACUAUGGUUAGUAUUUAAGACGCAUAUAAGAAGUUAUGCAAUGAAGAUGCUCUAAAUGUCUAAUUAGAUAGACACCAUAAGAAUUUAUAUACUUUUACUUAUUCUUUUUGUCAACACCAUAAGAAAUUAUUUUAGAAUCAAAUUUAAUUUAGAACU